GGCCACUGAUGAAUCCUAUAAGUAGGCUUUUCCUUUAUCGCUUUCUUUCUAUUUUACUUUUGCCUAAUUUUUAUUUUUUCUACCAGUCGCUAUCUUGCUAUUACAGUUUCCACAAGGAGGUCUUUUCAGUCACCAUCAUCUUCUUCGACAUUGGUGACCUCCUAGUUGCUCUAUUCUCCAAUUGGUCCUCCAUUCUUUGUUGUCUUUUCUUGUUUUCUACUAUUCCCUAGUUUGGUUCUUCCUUUCUUCUUCUCAUUUCUUUAGUUUUAUUAGCAGCUUUUUCCUUUAACAUGUUUUCUGAGCUUGGUGAGGUCAAGGACGAAAACUCUAGUGGCGGCCAAGAUUCCAGUCACCACCUCCUUGGACCGAACCCAA
rnacentral:lncRNA from 1 species